UAGCAAUGCUGCUGUAGGUGGGGGUGGCGGCAGUGGUAAUAAUAAUAAUUCAGGUUCUCAAUCUUCUCAGCACAUGGGCGAGCAUGGUUCGAUGCCUGUCUACAAUUUGCCUCCUAAUUUGCUACCCAAUGGGCAAAUGCCACAGGAGGUGUUUUGGUGUCCUCCUCGUCAUCCACCUCCCUCUUACUGAUGUGUGUGUGAGAAAGGGGGAGGGGCUAGAGUUGUUAGCUUUGGAUUAGCCAACCGAAAUGUGCAAAAAUGUACUGGAAAUUUUCAUGUAAGCAUCAUAUAACAAGGAAG
rnacentral:misc_RNA from 1 species